rnacentral:snRNA from 1 species
AUCGCUUCUCGGCCUUUUGGCUAAGAUCAAGUGUAGUAUCUUUUCCAGGAGCUUUGCCGAGAGAGCGUGCUGAAAGCAUC